rnacentral:rRNA from 1 species
UAGGCCCACCAAACCUUCGAUGGAUAGGGGUUCUGAGAGGAAGGUCCCCCACAUUGGAACUGAGACACGGUCCAAACUCCUACGGGAGGCAGCAUG